AAAAAGAAAGAGAAAGAAGGUGAAAGGGAAAAGACGAAAAACAAGGGGAUCCCAAAGUUCUUGUGUAUUUGUGUUUCUUCUUUAU
rnacentral:ribozyme from 13 species